ensembl:misc_RNA Metazoa_SRP Metazoan signal recognition particle RNA
GCUGGGCGUGGUGGCGUGUGCCUGUAGUCCCAUCUACUUGGGAGGCUGAGGUGGGAGGAUGGCUUGAGCCAAGGAGGUGGAGGUUGCAGUGAGCCAUGAUCGUGCUGCCACUGCACUCUAGCCUGGGCAACAGAGCCAGACCGUAUCUCAG